AAAGAAUCUGGGAGGCAUCUCAGGAUGGAGGGAUUACCUUGGCCUCAAGCAAAUGGUCAGCAGCCAGAACAAUCUCCCCAGGGGCCAUCUCCCAGGAAUCCACAAAAUCCCAACAUUCUGAGAGUGAAUGCAGGUGUAGAGGUUCCAUGCCCCAGUCUCCCUCCUGAAUCCGUGUUUCCUUUGGCUAUAAACUUUGACAACCCAGUGAUGGGUGAAAUGGCAGCUGUUGCCAACCUAGGUCCUAUGCCAAGAGCACCACAAUCAUCCAGCACUGGCAGGA